UACGGGGGGGGCAAGCGUUGUUCGGAAUUACUGGGCGUAAAGGGCUCGUAGGCGGCCAACUAAGUCGGAUGUGAAAUCCCCCAGGCUCAACCUGGGAACUGCAUCCGAUACUGGAUGGCUUGAAUUCGGGAGAGGGAUGCAGAAUUCCAGGUGUAGCGGUGAAAUGCGUAGAUAUCUGGAGGAAUACCGGUGGCGAAGGCGGCAUCCUGGACCCGACAUUGACGCUGAGGAGCGAAAGCCAGGGGAGCAAACGGG
rnacentral:rRNA from 1 species